UGGGGAAUAUUGCACAAUGGGGGAAACCCUGAUGCAGCGACGCCGCGUGAGUGAAGAAGUAUUUCGGUAUGUAAAGCUCUAUCAGCAGGGAAGAAGAAGGACGGUACCUGAGUAAGAAGCACCGGCUAAAUACGUGCCAGCAGCCGCGGUAAUACGUAUGGUGCAAGCGUUAUCCGGAUUUACUGGGUGUAAAGGGUGCGUAGGUGGUAUGGCAAGUCAGAAGUGAAAACACGGGGCUCAACCCCGUGACUGCUUUUGAAACUGUCAGACUAGAGUACAGGAGAGGAAAGCGGAAUUCCUAGUGUAGCGGUGAAAUGCGUAGAUAUUAGGAGGAACACCAGUGGCGAAGGCGGCUUUCUGGACUGAAACUGACACUGAGGCACGAAAGCGUGGGGAGCAAACAGG
rnacentral:rRNA from 1 species